CCCGAACAUUGGGAAGCACUUAAGUGGUUACUUAGGUACUUAAAAGGCACAUCUAGUAUAGGAUUAGUAUAUAAAAGGGGAAAUGAAGGAAUGAUACUUAAAGGCUUUGUGGAUGCUGAUUUUGCUGGUGAUAGGGACCAUAGAAAGUCCACUUCUGCCUAUAUGUUCACACUUUGUGGUACCUGUGUGAGUUGGAAGUCCCAAUUACAGCCUAUAGUUGCUUUAUCAACCACAGAGGUUGAGUAUGUAGCUGCCACAGAAGCUGUGAAGGAAGCUUUGUGGCUUAAGGGACUAUUAUCUGAAAUUAGGAUGUUAAAUGAACCUGUAAUUGUUUAUUUAGAUAGCCAAAGUGCAAUACACUUGUGUAAGAAUCCUGUUUUUCAUGAAAGAACCAAACACAUAGAUGUAAAGUUACAUUUUAUUAGAGAUGUUGUCUCAAAUGAAUGUGUUCUUCUUGAAAAAAUUCCUACACAGUACAAUCCAUCAGACAUGGGGACAAAGGUAUUGCCUCUUUCUAAGUUUAAAUCAUGUUUGGCACUUUUGAAUAUUGAUACAGGUUAAUUCUUUAAAUGCAGGUACAACUUGGUGUCAAUAGGAGGGCUGCAAGUGCUCAGAAAUCCCAUUGGCAUCAAGGUGGAGGUUGUUGGGCUGUGAUGACCAAUGACCUUUUCUGGGCUGUGAUGACAAAUGGGCUAAAGCCCAAUAACUGUUUUAUCAAUUUAGGCUCUUGCCCAAUAACAUGACCCGAUCCGCCCCAACCCAAAUGGUAGAUAAAACGUGUUUUGGCG
rnacentral:lncRNA from 1 species